rnacentral:rRNA from 1 species
CACGGGGGGAGCAAGCGUUGUUCGGAUUCCUUGGGCGUAAAGGGUGCGUAGGUUGCGCUGUCAGUCGGGUGUGAAAUUUCGGAGCUUAACUCCGAAACUGCAUUCGAUACUGCGGUGCUUGAGGACUGGAGAGGAGACUGGAAUUCAUGGUGUAGCAGUGAAAUGCGUAGAGAUCAUGAGGAAGACCAGUGGCGAAGGCGGGUCUCUGGACAGUUCCUGACACUGAGGCACGAAGGCCAGGGGAGCAAACGGG